rnacentral:tRNA from 1 species
GGCCCGUUGGUCAAGCGGUCUAAGACAUCGGCCUUUCAAGCCGGUAACAGGGGUUCGACUCCCCUACGGGUCACCA